UACGUAGGGUGCAAGCGUUGUCCGGAAUUAUUGGGCGUAAAGAGCUCGUAGGCGGUUUGUCGCGUCUGCUGUGAAAACUGGAGGCUCAACCUCCAGCCUGCAGUGGGUACGGGCAAACUAGAGUGCGGUAGGGGAGAUUGGAAUUCCUGGUGUAGCGGUGGAAUGCGCAGAUAUCAGGAGGAACACCAAUAGCGAAGGCAGCUCGCUGGGACGGUACUGACACUGAGGCGCGAAAGCGUGGGGAGCGAACAGG
rnacentral:rRNA from 1 species